GACGAACGCUGGCGGCGUGCCUAAUACAUGCAAGUAGAACGCUGAAGAGAGGAGCUUGCUCUUCUUGGAUGAGUUGCGCACGGGUGAGUAACGCGUAGGUAACCUGCCUUGUAGCGGGGGAUAACUAUUGGAAACGAUAGCUAAUACCGCAUAACAAUGGAUGACACAUGUCAUUUAUUUGAAAGGGGCAAUUGCUCCACUACAAGAUGGACCUGCGUUGUAUUAGCUAGUAGGUGAGGUAACGGCUCACCUAGGCGACGAUACAUAGCCGACCUGAGAGGGUGAUCGGCCACACUGGGACUGAGACACGGCCCAGACUCCUACGGGAGGCAGCAGUAGGGAAUCUUCGGCAAUGGGGGCAACCCUGACCGAGCAACGCCGCGUGAGUGAAGAAGGUUUUCGGAUCGUAAAGCUCUGUUGUAAGUCAAGAACGAGUGUGAGAGUGGAAAGUUCACACUGUGACGGUAGCUUACCAGAAAGGGACGGCUAACUACGUG
rnacentral:rRNA from 1 species